CAGAAAAUGGGAGAUUGUGAAUGGGUGUA
rnacentral:piRNA from 1 species